rnacentral:tRNA from 1 species
GCGCAAGUAGUAUAGUGGUUAGUAUUUGGCGUUGCCAACGCUAAGACCCGGGUUCGAAUCCCGGCUCGCGCA